rnacentral:rRNA from 1 species
UACGUAGGGUGCAAGCGUUAAUCGGAAUUACUGGGCGUAAAGCGUGCGCAGGCGGUUUUGUAAGACAGAGGUGAAAUCCCCCGGGCUCAACCUGGGAACUGCCUUUGGUGACUGCAAGGCUUGAGUGCGGCAGAGGGGGAUGGAAUUCCGCGUGUAGCAGUGAAAUGCGUAGAGUAUGCGGAGGAACACCGAUGGCGAAGGCAAUCCCCUGGGCCUGCACUGACGCUCAUGCACGAAGCGUGGGAGCAACAGGAUAG